CGGGGUGGAGUAAUGUCUGGGAAACUGCCUGAUGGAGGGGGAUAACUGCUGGAACGGUAGCUAAUACCGCAUAACGUCGCAAGACCAAAGAGGGGGACCUUCGGGCCUCUUGCCAUCGGAUGUGCCCAGAUGGGAUUAGCUAGUAGGUGGGGUAACGGCUCACCUAGGCGACGAUCCCUAGCUGGUCUGAGAGGAUGGCCAGCCACACUGGAACUGAGACACGGUCCAG
rnacentral:rRNA from 1 species